CUGUCUCUAUCUCAUUUUUUAGAAUUUAAUUUUUAAGUGAAAAGGCUUGAAUUUUUUAGAGGGACGAGAAGACCCUAAUGAGCUUAUAAUUUUAUUAUUAUUUUGUUAAUUGGAUUGGUAAAGUAAUAUAUAAUUUUAGUUGGGGUGAUUAAGGAAUAAAUUAUAUUAGUAACUUCCUUAGGUUAUAUGUUUUAUUAUAAAGUAACCAAUGUAGUAUUGCUUAUAUUAUAGUUACCAUAGGGAUAACAGCGUAAUUUAUUUAGAGAGUUCUUAUUGAAAAAUAAGAUUGCGACCUCUAUGUAGGAUUAAAGUAUCCUUAACGUGAAGCAUCUU
rnacentral:rRNA from 1 species